rnacentral:rRNA from 1 species
ACUCCUACGGGAGGCAGCAGUGGGGAAUAUUGCACAAUGGGCGCAAGCCUGAUGCAGCGACGCCGCGUGGGGGAUGACGGCCUUCGGGUUGUAAACUCCUUUCGUCAGGGACGAAGCGAAAGUGACGGUACCUGGAUAAGAAGCACCGGCUAACUACGUGCCAGCAGCCGCGGUAAUACGUAGGGUGCGAGCGUUGUCCGGAAUUACUGGGCGUAAAGAGCUCGUAGGUGGUUUGUCGCGUCGUUUGUGUAAGUCCACGGCUUAACUGUGGGAUGGCAGGCGAUACGGGCAUAACUUGAGUGCUGUAGGGGAGACUGGAAUUCCUGGUGUAGCGGUGAAAUGCGCAGAUAUCAGGAGGAACACCGAUGGCGAAGGCAGGUCUCUGGGCAGUAACUGACGCUGAGGAGCGAAAGCAUGGGUAGCGAACAGGAUUAGAUACCCUGGUAGUCCAUGCCGUAAACGGUGGGCGCUAGGUGUGAGUCCCUUCCACGGGGUUCGUGCCGUAGCUAACGCAUUAAGCGCCCCGCCUGGGGAGUACGGCCGCAAGGCUAAAACUCAAAGGAAUUGACGGGG